CACGUAGGGUGCGAGCGUUGUCCGGAAUUAUUGGGCGUAAAGAGCUCGUAGGCGGUCUGUCGCGUCGGUCGUGAAAACUUGGGGCUUAACCCUGAGCUUGCGGUCGAUACGGGCAUGACUGGAGUUCGGCAGGGGGGACUGGAAUUCCUGGUGUAGCGGUGAAAUGCGCAGAUAUCAGGAGGAACACCGGUGGCGAAGGCGGGUCUCUGGGCCGAUACUGACGCUGAGGAGCGAAAGCGUGGGGAGCGAACAGG
rnacentral:rRNA from 1 species